rnacentral:rRNA from 1 species
UGCCCUUCUGAAUCUGGACUCUACAAGAAGCAAUUGGAUCAGAAAGCUCUGAUUGUCGGUGUGUAUGUAGAUGAUCUCAUCAUAACAGGAGGCAGUGAUCGAGCCAUCGAAGAUUUCAAAAGGCAAAUGAAGUCUAAGUUCAGUAUGAGUGAUUUGGGAAUGCUAAGGUACUACUUGGGGAUAGAAGUGAAGCAAACAAAGGAUGCAAUCACUCUUUGUCAAUCAGCAUAUGCAGCUCGAAUCCUUGAGAAGAUGGGAAUGUCGAUCUGUAAUCCUAUGCAUACACCAAUGGAAGCCAGACUGAAGAUGAGCAAAAACAGCCAAGCAGAGGCUGUUGAUGCAACCCAAUACAGAAGUGUAGUGGGAAGUUUGAGGUACCUGAUUCAUACUCGCCCAGACUUGAGUUACUCUGUUGGUUUUGUCAGUCGCUUCAUGGAGAAACCUACAGCAGAACACAUGAGUGCUGUGAAGCACAUUCUAAGGUAUGUGAAAGGAACAUUGAAUCUUGGAUGCUACUAUAGUCAAGGUGAGACGAGCAAAUUUCAGCUCAUUGGGUACUGCGACAGUGAUCUAGGUGGUGACAUUGAUGAUCGUAAGAGCACUACAGGGGUGUUGUUCUACCUCGGAAAGAAUCCACUGACUUGGGCAUCUCAAAAACAGAAAGUUGUGGCUAUGUCCUCGUGUGAAGCUGAGUAUGUGGCAGCUGCAUCUGCAGCUUGUCAAGGAAUUUGGUUGGCCCGGCUCCUAGGUGAAUUACUUGAUCGCGAGCCGAAAAAAUGGACACUGAAGAUCGACAACCAAUCAGCA